rnacentral:rRNA from 1 species
GACAGAGGGGGCAAGCGUUGCUCGGAAUCACUGGGCGUAAAGGGCGCGUAGGCGGGAUGGCAAGUCAGUCGUGAAAUCUCUCGGCUCAACCGAGAAACGUCGGCUGAUACUGCCGUUCUUGAGGGAUGCAGAGGAGACUGGAAUUCCCGGUGUAGCGGUGAAAUGUGUAGAGAUCCGGAAGAACACCGGAGGCGAAGGCGGCUUGCUGGGCAUUGUCUGACGCUGAGGCGCGAAAGCGUGGGGAGCAAACAGG